rnacentral:misc_RNA from 1 species
AACUUUUAACAACGGAUCACUUGGCUCUGGCAUCGAUGAAGAACGCAGCGAAAUGCGAUAAGUAAUGUGAAUUGCAGAGUUCAGUGAAACAUCGAAUCUUUGAACGCACAUUGCGCCCGCUAGCACUCUAGCGGGCAUGCCUGUCCGAGCGUCAUUUCAACCCUCAGAACCCCCUCGGGGGGACUGGCGUUGGGGAUCGGCCCGCCCUGGCGCGGCGCCGUCCCCUAAAUACAGUGGCGGUCUCGCUGCAGCCUCCCCUGCGUAGUAGCACACCUCGCAUCGGAGAGCGGCAAGGCCACGCCGUAAACCCCCAACUUCUGAACGUUGACCUCGGAUCAGGUAGGAAUACCCGCUGAACUUAAGCAUAUCAAUAAGCGGAGGCU